rnacentral:rRNA from 1 species
ACUUCUUUUAUGGGGGACGAAAUCACUUAUUCUUAAGUGUCUGACGGUACCCCAGGAAUAAGCACCGGCUAACUCCGUGCCAGCAGCCGCGGUAAUACGGAGGAUCCAAGCGUUAUCCGGAUUUAUUGGGUUUAAAGGGUGCGUAGGCGGCUUAUUAAGUCAGGGGUGAAAGACGGUGGCUCAACCAUCGCAGUGCCUUUGAUACUGAUGAGCUUGAAUACACUUGAGGUAGGCGGAAUGUGACAAGUAGCGGUGAAAUGCAUAGAUAUGUCACAGAACCCCGAUUGCGAAGGCAGCUUACUAAAGUGUAAAUGACGCUGAGGCACGAAAGCGUGGGGAUCAAACAGGAUUAGAUACCCUGGUAGUCCACGCCCUAAACAAUGAAUACUCGAUGUUGGCGAUAUACAGUCAGCGUCCAAGCGAAAGCGUUAAGUAUUCCACCUGGGGAGUACGUCCGCAAGGAUGAAACUCAAAGGAAUUGACGGGGGCCCGCACAAGCGGAGGAGCAUGUGGUUUAAUUCGAUGAUACGCGAGGAACCUUACCCGGGCUUGAAAGUUAGUGAAUAAUCCAGAGAUGGAUUAGCCCUUCGGGGCACGAAACUAGGUGCUGCAUGGCUGUC